UGGGGAAUAUUGCGCAAUGGGCGCAAGCCUGAUCCAGCCAUGCCGCGUGAGUGAAGAAGGCCUUCGGGUUGUAAAGCUCUUUCGGCGGGGACGAAACGGUCCGUGACAACACCACGGACUAAUGACGGUACUCGCAGAAGAAGCACCGGCUAACUACGUGCCAGCAGCCGCGGUAAUACGUAGGGUGCAGGCGUUAAUCGGAAUUACUGGGCGUAAAGCGUGCGCAGGCGGCUCCUUAAGUCAGAUGUGAAAUCCCCGGGCUUAACCUGGGAACUGCGUUUGAAACUGAGGGGCUAGAGUGUGGAAGAGGGGGGUGGAAUUCCAGGUGUAGCAGUGAAAUGCGUAGAGAUCUGGAGGAACACCGAUGGCGAAGGCAGCCCCCUGGGCUAACACUGACGCUCAUGCACGAAAGCGUGGGGAGCAAACAGGAUUAGAUACCCAAGUAGUCCCUGAGCGGGCUGGCAAGGCGCAU
rnacentral:rRNA from 1 species